rnacentral:rRNA from 1 species
UACGAAGGGGGCUAGCGUUGUUCGGAAUUACUGGGCGUAAAGCGUGCGCAGGCGGCUUCUCAAGUCAGGGGUGAAAGCCCAGAGCUCAACUCUGGAACUGCCUUUGAGACUGAGAGGCUUGAGUACGGGAGAGGUGAGUGGAAUUCCCAGUGUAGAGGUGAAAUUCGGUAGAUAUUUGGGAAGAACACCGGUGGCGAAGGCGGCGUC